rnacentral:rRNA from 1 species
AUUGAACGCUGGCGGCAUGCCUUACACAUGCAAGUCGAACGGCAGCAUAGGAGCUUGCUCCUGAUGGCGAGUGGCGAACGGGUGAGUAAUAUAUCGGAACGUGCCCUAGAGUGGGGGAUAACUAGUCGAAAGACUAGCUAAUACCGCAUACGAUCUAAGGAAGAAAGUGGGGGAUAGCAAGACCUCAUGCUCCUGGACCGGCCGAUAUCUGAUUAGCUAGUUGGUGGGGUAAAAGCCUACCAAGGCGACGAUCAGUAGCUGGUCGGAGAGGACGACCAGCCACACUGGGACUGAGACACGGCCCAGACUCCUACGGGAGGCAGCAGUGGGGAAUUUUGGACAAUGGGGGCAACCCUGAUCCAGCAAUGCCGCGUGAGUGAAGAAGGCCUUCGGGUUGUAAAGCUCUUUUGUCAGGGAAGAAACGGUAGUAGCUAAUAUCUAUUACUAAUGACGGUACCUGAAGAAUAAGCACCGGCUAACUACGUGCCAGCCGCCGCUGUAA